CCAAGGAUGUUUUCAUUAAUCAAGAACGAAAGUUAGGGGAUCGAAGACGAUCAGAUACCGUCGUAGUCUUAACCAUAAACGAUGCCGACCAGCGAUUAGGAGACGUUGAAUACAAAACACCACCAUCGGCGCGGUCGUCCUUGGCGUCGGUCUUUCGGGGCCGGCGCGGGGGCGGCUUAGCCCGGUGGCACCGGUGAAUGACUCCCCUAGCAGCUUGUGAGAA
rnacentral:rRNA from 1 species